UACGAAGGGGGCUAGCGUUGUUCGGAAUUACUGGGCGUAAAGGGCGCGUAGGCGGCCUGUUUAGUCAGAAGUGAAAGCCCCGGGCUCAACCUGGGAAUAGCUUUUGAUACUGGCAGGCUUGAGUUCCGGAGAGGAUGGUGGAAUUCCCAGUGUAGAGGUGAAAUUCGUAGAUAUUGGGAAGAACACCGGUGGCGAAGGCGGCCAUCUGGACGGACACUGACGCUGAGGCGCGAAAGCGUGGGUAGCAAACAGG
rnacentral:rRNA from 1 species